AUCGCUUCUCGGCCUUUUGGCUAAGAUCAAGUGUAGUAUAACGACUUCUUCAACUUGUUGGUUGUUAAGAGGUGAGGUGUGUGGUUACCUAAAUGUUCAUUAACAGAUGAAAUGUAUAAAGAAAAUAUAGCAA
rnacentral:snRNA from 1 species